rnacentral:rRNA from 1 species
UGAGGAAUCUUGCGCAAUGGGGGAGACCCUGACGCAGCAACGCCGCGUGAGUGAGGAAGGUCUUCGGGUCGUAAAGCUCUGUCAGGCGGGAAGAAAUGCAUGGAGGUGAACAGCCGCCAUGCUUGACGGUACCGCCAGAGGAAGCACCGGCUAACUCCGUGCCAGCAGCCGCGGUAAUACGGGGGGUGCAAGCGUUGUUGGGAAUCUUUGGGCGUAAAGAGCGUGUAGGCGGCGUGGUAAGUCAGAUGUGAAAGCCCUGGGCUCAACCCGGGAAGUACACUUGAAACUGCCAGGAUCUGGUAGGUGAGAGGGGAGUGGAAUUCGUGGUGUAGAGGUGAGAUACGUAGAUAUCAGGAGGAACACCGGUGGCGAGGGCGAAUUCCUGGCCCUAUACUGACGCAGAGACGCGAGAGCGUGGG